AUACGUAGGUGGCAAGCGUUGUCCGGAAUUAUUGGGCGUAAAGCGCGCGCAGGCGGUCCUUUAAGUCUGAUGUGAAAGCCCACGGCUCAACCGUGGAGGGUCAUUGGAAACUGGGGGACUUGAGUGCAGAAGAGGAAAGUGGAAUUCCAAGUGUAGCGGUGAAAUGCGGAGAGAUUUGGAGGAACACCAGUGGCGAAGGCGAUUUUCUGGCCUGUAACUGACGCUGAGGCGCGAAAGCGGGGGGAGCAAACAGGAUUAGAUACCCUGGUAUGCCACGCCGUAAACGAUGAGUGCUAAGUGUUAGGGGGUUUCCGCCCCUUAGUGCUGCAGCUAACGCAUUAAGCACUCCGCCUGGGGAGUACGGUCGCAAGACUGAAACUCAAAUGAAUUGGCGGGG
rnacentral:rRNA from 1 species